UUGCAUCACUUUUGACCAAAAUCGGAGCAAGUUCAACUUUUGACCCCUGUACAAACUGAAACUGAUCUUUGACACUAAUUGUUACUAUUUGUAC